UACGAAGGGGGCUAGCGUUGUUCGGAAUUACUGGGCGUAAAGCGCACGUAGGCGGAUCGAUCAGUCAGGGGUGAAAUCCCAGAGCUCAACUCUGGAACUGCCUUUGAUACUGUCGAUCUGGAGUAUGGAAGAGGUGAGUGGAAUUCCGAGUGUAGAGGUGAAAUUCGUAGAUAUUCGCAAGAACACCAGUGGCGAAGGCGGCCAACUGGUCCGGUACUGACGCUGAGGUGCGAAAGCGUGGGGAGCAAACAGG
rnacentral:rRNA from 1 species